rnacentral:rRNA from 1 species
AGAGUUUGAUCCUGGCUCAGAUUGAACGCUGGCGGCAUGCCUAACACAUGCAAGUCGAACGGCAGCAUGAUAAGAGCUUGCUCUUAUUGAUGGCGAGUGGCGGACGGGUGAGUAAUAUGUAGGAAUCUGCCUUGAAGUGGGGGAUAACUUAGGGAAACUUAAGCUAAUACCGCAUAAUGUCUAAGGAAGAAAGCAGGGGAUCGUAAGACCUUGCGCUUUAAGAUGAGCCUACAUCGGAUUAGCUAGUUGGUGGGGUAAAGGCCUACCAAGGCUAUGAUCCGUAGCUGGUCUGAGAGGAUGACCAGCCACACUGGGACUGAGACACGGCCCAGACUCCUACGGGAGGCAGCAGUGGGGAAUAUUGGACAAUGGGCGCAAGCCUGAUCCAGCAAUGCCGCGUGUGUGAAGAAGGCCUUCGGGUUGUAAAGCACUUUCAGUGGGGAGGAAGGAGCGCGUGCUAAUAUCAUGCGCUAUUGACGUUACCCACAGAAGAAGCACCGGCUAACUCUGUGCCAGCAGCCGCGGUAAUACAGAGGGUGCGAGCGUUAAUCGGAAUUACUGGGCGUAAAGGGUGUGUAGGUGGUUGUAUAAGUUAGAUGUGAAAUCCCCGGGCUCAACCUGGGAACUGCGUUUAAGACUGUAUAACUAGAGUACUGUAGAGGAUAGUGGAAUUUCCAGUGUAGCGGUGAAAUGCGUAGAUAUUGGAAGGAACACCAGUGGCGAAGGCGACUAUCUGGACAGAUACUGUCACUGAGACACGAAAGCGUGGGGAGCAAACAGGAUUAGAUACCCCUGUAGUCC